AAAGUUCUGCCAUUAGCCAGACCCAAAACACAUUGACUGUGAUGAGAGGUGAGGCAGACCAAUCUUUAACUGUACAAGGAGACAGAGCAGUUUCUUAGGGAAGGCUUCAAGGUAGCCCAAACCCAUCCUGCACUAGAAGUGUGUCAUGCUGGGCCAGCUUCACAGAAGACUUUAAGACUGGGAGGACUUUCCCUUUCCAAUUCUGAAUACUUCUUCAACUCUAAGAAUCAUGAAAUUAUGGAAAUCUUUAUGUGAAUCCCUAGUUCAUCACGCAUGAUAAAGACUGCCUGCAUCUGACCUGUCUCAUCAUUCUCAAAGUUCUUUCAGGAAAAAAUAUUUUAAGAUCUUC
rnacentral:lncRNA from 1 species